AACAGGAAGCAGCUUGCUGCUUCGCUGACGAGUGGCGGACGGGUGAGUAAUGUCUGGGAAACUGCCUGAUGGAGGGGGAUAACUACUGGAAACGGUAGCUAAUACCGCAUAACGUCGCAAGACCAAAGAGGGGGACCUUCGGGCCUCUUGCCAUCGGAUGUGCCCAGAUGGGAUUAGCUAGUAGGUGGGGUAACGGCUCACCUAGGCGACGAUCCCUAGCUGGUCUGAGAGGAUGACCAGCCACACUGGAACUGAGACACGGUCCAGACUCCUACGGGAGGCAGCAGUGGGGAAUAUUGCACAAUGGGCGCAAGCCUGAUGCAGCCAUGCCGCGUGUAUGAAGAAGGCCUUCGGGUUGUAAAGUACUUUCAGCGGGGAGGAAGGCGAUAAGGUUAAUAACCUUGUCGAUUGACGUUACCCGCAGAAGAAGCACCGGCUAACUCCGUGCCAGCAGCCGCGGUAAUACGGAGGGUGCAAGCGUUAAUCGGAAUUACUGGGCGUAAAGCGCACGCAGGCGGUCUGUCAAGUCGGAUGUGAAAUCCCCGGGCUCAACCUGGGAACUGCAUUCGAAACUGGCAGGCUAGAGUCUUGUAGAGGGGGGUAGAAUUCCAGGUGUAGCGGUGAAAUGCGUAGAGAUCUGGAGGAAUACCGGUGGCGAAGGCGGCCCCCUGGACAAAGACUGACGCUCA
rnacentral:rRNA from 1 species